UCGAGGGGCAGCAGGGGUAGCAAUACUCGCUGGCGACCGGCGCACGGGUGCGUAACACGUAUGUAACCUUUCCUUAACUGGAGAAUAGCUUUGAGAAAUCAGAAUUAAUACUCCAUAACACUGCGAAGUGGCAUCACUUUGCAAUUAAAGCUCCGGCGGUUAAGGGUGGGCAUGCGUCCCAUUAGCUAGUUGGCGAGGUAACGGCUCACCAAGGCUACGAUGGGUAGGGGUUCUAAGAGGAUUUACCCCCACACUGGCACUGAGAUACGGGCCAGACUCCUACGGGAGGCAGCAGUAAGGAAUAUUGGUCAAUGGGCGCAAGCCUGAACCAGCCAUGCCGCGUGCAGGAUGAAGGUCCUACGGAUUGUAAACUGCUUUUGUACGGGACAAAACCCCGGGUUUCUACCUGGGUUGAUGGUACUGUAAGAAUAAGGAUCGGCUAACUCCGUGCCAGCAGCCGCGGUAAUACGGAGGAUCCAAGCGUUAUCCGGAUUCACUGGGUUUAAAGGGUGCGUAGGCGGAAUGACAAGUCAGUGGUGAAAACCUAUAGCUCAACUAUAGAACUGCCAUUGAUACUGUUAUUCUUGAGUGUAUUGGAUGUGAAUGGAAUGUGUCGUGUAGCGGUGAAAUGCUUAGAUAUGACACAGAACACCCAUUGCG
rnacentral:rRNA from 1 species